UGAAUACAAGAUGCUACGGCGUCGAAGCAGUCUAUGUCAUACUUCCAAGAAAAGCUCGCACUGUCAUAAACAAAUAAUGCCUGUACCAUAACCGACACAGGUGGGUAGGUAGAGUAUACUAAGGGGCGCGAGAUAACUCUCUCUAAGGAACUCGGCAAAAUGACUCCGUAACUUCGGGAGAAGGAGUGCCUUAUUUAUAAGGUUGCAAUAACAAGAUCCAAGCAACUGUUUAUCAAAAACACAGGUCUCCGCUAAGUCGUAAGACGAUGUAUGGGGGCUGACGCCUGCCCAGUGCCAGAAGGUUAAAGAAGUUGGUUAGCAUUCGCGAAGCUGAUAACUGAAGCCCUGGUGAACGGCGGCCGUAACAAUAACGGUCCUAAGGUAGCGAAAUUCCUUGUCGGGUAAGUUCCGACCCGCACGAAAGGCGUAAUGAUUUGGAUACUGUCUCGGAGAGGGGCUCGGUGAAAUAGACUUGUCUGUGAAGAUGCGGACUACCUGCACCAGGACAGAAAGACCCUAUGAAGCUUUACUGUAACUUGAGAUUGAAAUUGGACUUUACUUGCGCAGUAUAGGUGGGAGGCGUUGAUAAUAUUCUUGCGGGAUUAUUUGAGCCAUCAGUGAGAUACCACUCUUGUAAUGUUAGAUUUCUAACUUUGUAUCAUUAUCUGGUCAAAGGACAGUUUCAGGCGGGCAGUUUGACUGGGGCGGUCGCCUCCUAAACGGUAACGGAGGCGCACAAAGGUUUCCUCUGAACGGGUAGAAAUCGUAUCUAGAGUGUAAAGGCAUAAGGAAGCUUGACUGUGAGACCUACAAGUCGAGCAGGGACGAAAGUCGGUCUUAGUGAUCUGACGGUGCUGAGUGGAAAGGCCGUCACUCAACGGAUAAAAGUUACUCUAGGAUAACAGGCUGAUCUCCCCCAAGAGUUCACAUCGACGGGGAGGUUUGGCACCUCGAUGUCGGCUCAUCGCAUCCUGGGGCGGUAGUACGUCCCAAGGGUUGGGCUGUUCGCCCAUGAAAGCGGUACGCGAGCUGGGUUCAGAACGUCGUGAGACAGUUCGGUCCAUAUCCGGUGUAGGCGUUAGAAUAUUGAGAGGAGCCUUCUUUAGUACGAGAGGACCGAGAAGGACAUACCUCUGGUGUACCAGUUAUCGUGCCAACGGUAAACGCUGGGUAGCUAUGUAUGGAGUGGAUAACCGCUGAAAGCAUCUAAGUGGGAAGCCCACCUCAAGAUAAGUAUUCUCAU
rnacentral:rRNA from 1 species